CUACGGGAGGCAGCAGUGGGGAAUCUUAGACAAUGGGCGCAAGCCUGAUCUAGCCAUGCCGCGUGAGUGACGAAGGCCUUAGGGUCGUAAAGCUCUUUCGCCAGGGAUGAUAAUGACAGUACCUGGUAAAGAAACCCCGGCUAACUCCGUGCCAGCAGCCGCGGUAAUACGGAGGGGGUUAGCGUUGUUCGGAAUUACUGGGCGUAAAGCGCACGUAGGCGGACUGGAAAGUUGGGGGUGAAAUCCCGGGGCUCAACCUCGGAACUGCCUCCAAAACUACUAGUCUAGAGUUCGAGAGAGGUGAGUGGAAUUCCGAGUGUAGAGGUGAAAUUCGUAGAUAUUCGGAGGAACACCAGUGGCGAAGGCGGCUCACUGGCUCGAUACUGACGCUGAGGUGCGAAAGUGUGGGGAGCAAACAGGAUUAGAUACCCUGGUAGUCCACACCGUAAACGAUGAAUGCCAGUCGUCGGGUAGCAUGCUAUUCGGUGACACACCUAACGGAUUAAGCAUUCCGCCUGGGGAGUACGGUCGCAAGAUUAAAACUCAAAGGAAUUGACGG
rnacentral:rRNA from 1 species